rnacentral:lncRNA from 1 species
UUUUCUAUUUUCUGCCCUCUUCAUUUUUUCUAUUUUCUAUUUUUCUUUUUUCUAUUCUUCUUUUUUCUAUUUUCUAUUUUUUCUAUUUUCUGCCCUCUUCAUUUUUUUCUAUUUUCUUUUUUCUAUUCUUCUAUUUUUCUUUUUUCUAUUUUCUUCUUUUUUUUUCUGUUUUCUAUUUUCUUUUUUCUAUUUUCUGCCCUCUUCUUUUUUCUAUUUUCUUUUUUCUAUUUUCUGCCCUCUUCAUUUUUUCUAUUCUUUUCCCUCUUCUUUUUUUUUUUUUUUUUUUUUUUCCCUGGCUGUCUUCCUCGAGCAAAAUCUGCCCCGGCGGGGGGAAAUUUCUG